CUCUUCAUAUAUUUAUUGGCUGGUUGGUUUCGUCCCUCCCCUUUUAAAAGCAUCUGUUUAAAUCUUUUGCCUAGUUUCUAUUGGGUUGUUUGUAACAUACACCCCGGCGUGAGCAUCACUCUAAUUUUGGCCAUUGUGCAGGGUACAAAGCUCCCACUGCUAGAGAGCCAGUCUGUCAACGUUCUACCCAGGGUCUUUUCCAACACUAUGGAAAAGACUGGAAUGGGGGCAUGAUAGUUGAUGGGCAGGCGCCCCAGCUCCUGACCUUCACGGAGACAGCUCUGACUCUCUCAGGAGUCCUGGAGGUCCCACCGCCUACAGCAGUGACCUUGACAACGUCCUGCUGUCUGAACACCAUUCAUAUAAACGCCAGCCUCUCCUUGAUGCUCAGAAACACCAGCUCUGUUGUAAAUCAGGCAGCCACAUAUGUGUGAAACUGUUGGUGAGUGCUCUGGCCUAUUUCUGCAUGUCCCAAUUAAAUUUUAGAACUGUAUCUGAAUUGUAUGCCUUUCUGGUUAGAUUUAUUUCUAGCCACUUGAUCUAUUUUUGAAGUGUUGUAAAUGGUGGUGGUUAUAUUAGUUAUCAGAAACUUAUGACCAACCUAGAUAGCAUAUUCAAAAGCAGAGACAUUACUUUGCCAACAAAGGUCCGGCUAGUCAAGGCUAUGGUUUUUCCUGUGGUCAUGUAUGGAUGUGAGAGUUGGACUGUGAAGAAGGCUGAGCAC
ensembl:lncRNA